AGCCACUCGGACAACACUGGCUGCCCUUCUGUCUGAAGACUUUGUGUAUGAGCCAUUUAACAUGGAAGAAGUUGCUUUCACUGUGAUAGGUCCUUAUUGUUUAAUGAAACAACAAGUGGCCACAGAAAACUGAAGAGAGUAGAAUGAAUGCAUCCAACAUCUACAGGGGAGGUCACUUUGUGAAACUUAUUAUGCUAGAUGUAAAGAAUACAAAUAUUCCUAACAGAUUAUUGGCUUAGGAAGUUCCAGGAUAAAAAAUAUUUCUGGAGGCUUUAGUUGAAACAAUGUGGAGCUUGGACUAGUGGAAACUAAUAUUCAAACUCAUUUAGGAACUAGUGUGAAUUUGAAGGAAUUUCUUUAACUGACACCAAUGAGAUUGUUUUUGUGAAGUUUUUAUCUUGUGAUCUAGACAGGAACUUGUAUUUUGGUUGAAGUCUCAUUUUGUUUUCUGGUUUUAGUUUGUUUGUAGGGAGUUAUUGAUUAAACAUAGAGGUUAAAGGUCGAGAUUGCAGCUUAAAAGUACUGAAAAAAAAUCUAGGUUUUAACUCAUUGCUCUAUAGCUAAUCGUUGAAGGUGUCAUAGACUUGACUCCUGGUAAUGGCAUGUACAAUGAUUCGGUCCAGCAAGCCAUCUUAUACCAUUAAGUUUUUCAUGGAGAGAGAAAUGUCUGUCUUAAAAUAAAGAUUCAGACACUUAAAAAGUUUGUUAUCUCUCUUGUUUGUAAGAGGACACAACUGGAAGAAUGACUAAAUACCCUUUAGAUCACAUGGCCUGAAAGGUUAAAGGUCAACUUACUAACAGUAAAACAUGUAAGACUUUGCUGGUCAAGAUUUAGACUGCAGCCACCAAUCAAAGAAUGUCUCAGGCUUGACUCCUGAUGAGAAUAUCAAAUUAUCUAAUUGUUUACCUAUUUAGAGUAACAAAUUUUCUUUUUACUAAGUAGCUUCCAUAGGCUCCAAAAAUCCAUAAGGAGUCACAGCAAAUGAGUAGGCCUCUUCUAGAUUAUAUUGUAACCAAGUUCAGUAGAAAACGUUUUGAUUGUGUAGACUGGUGUCAAUAUCUCUGCAUGAAUUUUGGAAACACUUAGGGAAAACAAUAGCCGUUUGUCUUUAUGAUGGACAAAAACACAACUCUGUUACCAGUGCUCUGCUAGAUUUGCCCUUUAGAUCACAUAGCUCGAAAGGUUAAAGGUCAACUUUCUAACACAAAGACAUGAUAUAGUCUCAGUUUCACUGAUUGAUUUUGAGUUUUUUAUUUUCGGCACAUUUCGUUCAUUUUCACGGAUGAUUAUUAUACUUUUGUACUAUCAUGAUUUUUUUUUUUGUGAUAUUGUGUAAACUCCGUCCAAUGUUUAAACAAUAUUGACUGUUGUCCAUUCCUCUAAAUAAUAGAUAUUUAUAUCAUUUAUUAUUAUUUACAUAUGUUAGAUUUUGUAAAAAUAUUGUUUAAAAAAAAUAUAUAUGAUAAAUGUUUAUAAUAUCUAUUUCUUAGAGAUCUAAAUAUGUUUAUCAAUGUUUUCAUUGAAUGCAAAUAAAGAUGUGGAUUUCAGUU
rnacentral:sRNA from 1 species